rnacentral:rRNA from 1 species
CGCGCAGGCGGCCAGGUCAGUCGAAUGUGAAAGCCCCCGGCUCAACUGGGGAGGGUCAUUCGAUACUGCCUGGCUUGAAGAUAGGAGAGGGAAGCGGAAUUUCAGGUGUAGUGGUGAAAUGCGUAGAUAUCUGAAGGAACACCAGUGGCGAAGGCGGCUUUCUGGCCUAUUCUCGACGCUGAGGCGCGAAAGCUAGGGGAGCGAACG